AGUGAACGCUGGCGGUAGGCCUAACACAUGCAAGUCGAACGGCAGCACAGUAAGAGCUUGCUCUUACGGGUGGCGAGUGGCGGACGGGUGAGGAAUACAUCGGAAUCUACUUUUUCGUGGGGGAUAACGUAGGGAAACUUACGCUAAUACCGCAUACGACCUACGGGUGAAAGCAGGGGAUCUUCGGACCUUGCGCGAUUGAAUGAGCCGAUGUCGGAUUAGCUAGUUGGCGGGGUAAAGGCCCACCAAGGCGACGAUCCGUAGCUGGUCUGAGAGGAUGAUCAGCCACACUGGAACUGAGACACGGUCCAGACGCCUACGGGAGGGAGCAGUGGGGAAUAUUGGACAAUGGGCGCAAGCCUGAUCCAGCCAUACCGCGUGGGUGAAGAAGGCCUUCGGGUUGUAAAGCCCUUUUGUUGGGAAAGAAAAGCAGCAGGUUAAUACCCCGCUGUUCUGACGGUACCCAAAGAAUAAGCACCGGCUAACUUCGUG
rnacentral:rRNA from 1 species